GCAGUCGAGCGGACAGAAGGGAGCUUGCUCCCGGAUGUUAGCGGCGGACGGGUGAGUAACACGUGGGUAACCUGCCUGUAAGACUGGGAUAACUCCGGGAAACCGGAGCUAAUACCGGAUAGUUCCUUGAACCGCAUGGUUCAAGGAUGAAAGACGGUUUCGGCUGUCACUUACAGAUGGACCCGCGGCGCAUUAGCUAGUUGGUGGGGUAAUGGCUCACCAAGGCGACGAUGCGUAGCCGACCUGAGAGGGUGAUCGGCCACACUGGGACUGAGACACGGCCCAGACUCCUACGGGAGGCAGCAGUAGGGAAUCUUCCGCAAUGGACGAAAGUCUGACGG
rnacentral:rRNA from 1 species